rnacentral:rRNA from 1 species
UACGUAGGGUGCAAGCGUUAAUCGGAAUUACUGGGCGUAAAGCGUGCGCAGGCGGUAAUGCAAGACAGAUGUGAAAGCCCCGGGCUCAACCUGGGAAUGGCAAUGGAAACUGGCGGGCUGGAGUAUGGCAGAGGGGGGUGGAAUUCCGCGUGUAGCAGUGAAAUGCGUAGAGAUGCGGAGGAACACCGAUGGCGAAGGCAGCCCCCUGGGCCAAUACUGACGCUCAGGCACGAAAGCGUGGGGAGCGAACAGG